CUGUCGACUCCUACGGAGGCAGCAGUGGGGAAUAUUGCACAAUGGGCGCAAGCCUGAUGCAGCCAUGCCGCGUGUAUGAAGAAGGCCUUCGGGUUGUAAAGUACUUUCAGCAGUGAGGAAGGUGGGUAUGUUAAUAGCAUAUUCAUUUGACGUUAGCUGCAGAAGAAGCACCGGCUAACUCCGUGCCAGCAGCCGCGGUAAUACGGAGGGUGCGAGCGUUAAUCGGAAUUACUGGGCGUAAAGCGCAUGCAGGUGGUUUGUUAAGUCAGAUGUGAAAGCCCGGGGCUCAACCUCGGAAUUGCAUUUGAAACUGGCAAACUAGAGUACUGUAGAGGGGGUAGAAUUUCAGGUGUAGCGGUGAAAUGCGUAGAGAUCUGAAGGAAUACCGGUGGCGAAGGCGGCCCCCUGGACAGAUACUGACACUCAGAUGCGAAAGCGUGGGGAGCAAACAGGAUUAGAUACCCUGGUAG
rnacentral:rRNA from 1 species